rnacentral:rRNA from 1 species
AAUCCAUAGGUUAAUGAGGCGAACCGGGGGAACUGAAACAUCUAAGUACCCCGAGGAAAAGAAAUCAACCGAGAUUCCCCCAGUAGCGGCGAGCGAACGGGGAGGAGCCCAGAGCCUGAAUCAGCAUGUGUGUUAGUGGAAGCGUCUGGAAAGGCGCGCGAUACAGGGUGACAGCCCCGUACACAAAAGCGCAUGUGCUGUGAGCUCGAUGAGUAGGGCGGGACACGUGGUAUCCUGUCUGAAUAUGGGGGGACCAUCCUCCAAGGCUAAAUACUCCUGACUGACCGAUAGUGAACCAGUACCGUGAGGGAAAGGCGAAAAGAACCCCGGCGAGGGGAGUGAAAAAGAACCUGAAACCGUGUACGUACAAGCAGUGGGAGCCCCACCACCAAAGCAUUCUC